CUGGGCUGUUCUUGGCCAGGCAGGUGUAGGGUUCCCUCCAGGAAGCACAGCUCCCAGGGACUUGGUGGGAAGCCAGGAAAGAGCUCCUCACCGGGACCCUGAAUCGCUCCCGAUGGAGACACAGGUGCCCUGCGGUGGCAGGGUGGCAGCCCGCCUACAAGUGCCCCACAGCAGCCACGUGUGAAGUCUGGCUGCCACGUGGGGAUGCAUGUCCCUGGUCUGCAGCACCUCCACAGGUGGAUGUGCACGGAGUGCCUUGAGGUGGCCCUACAUGCCACACGGGACAACACACAGAUGAGUGCUCUGCCACGUUGCACUUCCCCAGAUGCCUUGUGAUGUCUGCUCUGGCAGGGAGGCAAGCUAUCCUGUAGGGUAGCAGGGUCCUGUCCCCUCAGCAGGCCUUGACGUGGAUGUUGAGAAGACGGGCUUUAAGUCCUGCUUCACAGAGCAGCGCAGGGUGGGCUGUGUGCUGAGGGAGUCCUGGUUUUGUAUCUGCUGGCCCUGCCUGGGGUGGAGCACCUGCAGGCCAGUCCUGGGAGGGCUGGGGCCGCCUCCACCAUUUCCUGGGUGUGUCCAGGUGCUGCUUCAGCUUAGUCCCUCAGUCUUCUGAGACUGUGGAUCUGCAGCAGGUUGGACAAGGAACAAUCUUCCCAUUGGAAAUCCUGCAAGUCAACAAGAAAAAGGCAGAAGUCCCCAAUUAUAAAAACAGCAAUGGCCUCAAACAGCCUUUGUAUAGAGGAAGAGAGAGAGGAAAAAAAAAAAAAACCAGUAUGAGAGGAAGGAAGUUUUCAGAACCAUAACAAGAAAUGGAAGUUAAACUAGCCUCGCUGGCAUACACCUAUAAUCACAACAGUUUAGGAGGCUGAGGCAGGAGGAUCACAGUUUCAAAGCCAGCCUCAACAAUUUGGUCCUUGUCUCAAAAUAAUAAAUACGAUGAUGUGGGGAUGUGGUUCAUCAGUUAAUUUAAACAUGCCUGGGUUCAAUCCCUGGUACAAAAAAA
rnacentral:lncRNA from 1 species